rnacentral:rRNA from 1 species
GAUGAACGCUGGCGGCGUGCCUAACACAUGCAAGUCGAGCGAUUCUCUUCGGAGAAGAGCGGCGGACGGGUGAGUAACGCGUGGGUAACCUGCCCUGUACACACGGAUAACAUACCGAAAGGUAUGCUAAUACGAGAUAAUAUACUUUUAUCGCAUGGUAGAAGUAUCAAAGACUUUUGUCGGUACAGGAGUGGACCCGCCGUCUGAUUAGCUAGUUGGUAAGGUAACGGC